UGCUUAACCUCAGAUAACCUCAUCGAAUCUACAUAGAACAAACGCGAAGGAAAAGUAUUUGUCACGUAAGUUUCAAAUGUGGCCUUUCCAGAUAAGCUGAAAGAUUGAGAUCUGUAAUUGAAAAACGUGUAUUACAAAUCAAGUAGAAGAAAGGAGUUUUUAUUGUGGAUUCGUGUCAGUCAACCAUCCGUUAUGUUUCGAAAAUUUAAAUUUGAGGAAUUGUGCAAGAUAUUAGCCUUGGGCAUUAAAAUAAAUAUCAUGAACCUCUUCGAAAUCGUCCCUAUAUAAAGCCCCUCUCAUCAGCAAAUAAUAUCUGUCUUCCGUUUUCGAUUGUGAAGAUUCUUCAUCAUGCAGUACAUGUUCACACUUCUUCUCUUAGCUAGCCUUAUGGCUUUCUCUUUUGGUUACGGUUAUGGUUAUCCUUACGGAUAUACUUAUGGUGCGGGAUAUCCAUAUACUUACGGUGGCCUGGUCGGGGGAUAUUAUGGCUAUGGAGGCCUCGGAAGCUAUGGAUAUGGAUUGUAUGGCGGAUAUGACAAUAUCUAUCUCAAGAAAUGAACUGUCAAAAGGUCAUAAUGCGAUGACAUCUCAGGAAAAUGUAUCUAAAUGAAAGUCUUUCUUGCCAAUAAUAAGAAACAUCUUUGAUCUGCAUUAGAAUUUAAGUAUAUUUUUAAGUAAAAAUUUGCUUUAUCUUAAUUUGAAGAAACUGUAUUUUAUAUUUUGUUAAUCAUUUGAAAAUAAAUAUUUUA